rnacentral:misc_RNA from 1 species
AAAAUUUUCAUAGCCUCUCAUUGCGCGCUAGUAAGUAGGACCUCAUGGCCGGAGCUUCCUCCAUGAGAUACCGCCGAAAGCAAUGAAUGUUGGCACCACAUUUUGUGCACUGUAACGUCUUUGGUGGUUGGGCGGUUUGUCUUUUUUGUGACACUCUCGUCUGUCAGCUUGGGUUCAUCAUAAUCCUCGCCGUGGACACGCCACCAUUUGUCUUUUCAACUUAUGUUUUCAUGAAUUGUCUGACAAAUGCUUGUAUUGAAAAUAUACAAA